CCAGUGAAGGUACAGUAUGUCUUCAAAACUCACUGGUUUGCAAAUCCUGUAGGUGUGUGUCUAUAUAAUUAUAGGAGAUUGAGAGCGGCACAGUGAAACAGCCGUAAAGCGUUGGCCUCACAGUUCUGAGGACUGGGGUUCAAAUCCCAUCCCCGCAUGUGUGGGGUUUGCAUGUUCUCCCAGUGUCUGUGUGGCUUUUCUCCGGGCACUCCGGUUUCCUCCCACAACCCAAAAACAUGCAACAUUAAUUGGACACUCUAAAUUGGCUGUAUGUGUGAUUGUGACUGCGACUGUUGUUAGUCUCUAGGUGCCAUGCGAUUGGCCGGCAAUCAGUUCAGGGUGUACAUUGCCUCCUGUGCAAGCAAUGACAGCUUGGUUAAGCUCCAGCACUCCCGUGAUCUUUGUGAAGAUAAGCAGCUCAGAAGAUGGAUGGAUGGAUGGAUGGAUGGAUGGAUGGAUAGAUGGAUGGAUACCUCAUUCUCAUUCGGACCAAAACACGUUCAUCUCUGGGACACAGAGUCUGACUCCUUCCUGAGUGGUGUGAUGGCUGGAUAUUCCCAUGAGGUUUAUGCUGGCAUAUAAUAGUUGGAACAGAUCGAUGUGGCACCUUCAAGCAUCAGGAGCUUCCAAAGCUCGUCAUCUGGGCUUCCCUACGUUUUUUAAAGAUACAAUCCAUUCCGUGAGCCCAUCCCAGCUGUCAACGACUGCACUGUAUUAAGGAGAGGAUGAUCGCGGCCAUGUAUUGUGAGAUGUUGAGGAACUACCUCUUUUCCUCAGUCAGAGCAUUGAAGAUGGGUCGUGGCUGGGUCUUUCAACAUGACAAUGACCGCACACAGCCAGGAAAACCAAGGAGUGGCUCCGUAAGAAGCACAUCAAGGUUCUGGCAUGGCUUAGCCAGUCUCCAGACCUAAACCCAAUAGAAUAUCUUUGGAGGGAGCUGAAACUCCGUGUUUCUCAGCGACAGCCCAGAAACCUGUCUGAUCUAGAGAAGAUCUGUGUCGAGGAGUGGGCCAAAAUCCCUCCCGCAGUGUGGGAAACCAGGUGAACUAUAGGAAACGUUUGACCUCUGUAAUUCCCA